AAACCACGUUGAAUACACCUUCUCAUCCGAUCACCGAAGUUAAGCAGCGUCGGUUGCGGCCAGUACUUACAUGGGUGACCACCUGGCAACAUCGCGU
rnacentral:rRNA from 1 species